GGGGAAUAUUGGACAAUGGGCGCAAGCCUGAUCCAGCCAUGCCGCGUGUGUGAAGAAGGCCUUCGGGUUGUAAAGCACUUUCAGCGAGGAGGAAGGGUUGUGUGUUAAUAGUACACAGCCUUGACGUUACUCGCAGAAGAAGCACCGGCUAACUCUGUGCCAGCAGCCGCGGUAAUACAGAGGGUGCAAGCGUUAAUCGGAAUUACUGGGCGUAAAGCGCACGUAGGCGGUUUUUUAAGUCAGAUGUGAAAGCCCCGGGCUCAACCUGGGAAUUGCAUUUGAAACUGGAAAACUAGAGUGUGUGAGAGGGGGGUAGAAUUCCAAGUGUAGCGGUGAAAUGCGUAGAGAUUUGGAGGAAUACCAGUGGCGAAGGCGGCCCCCUGGCACAACACUGACGCUCAGGUGCGAAAGCGUGGGGAGCAAAC
rnacentral:rRNA from 1 species